UACGAAGGGGGCGAGCGUUGUUCGGAUUUACUGGGCGUAAAGGGCGCGCAGGCGGUCUUGAAAGUCAGGCGUGAAAGCCCCGGGCUUAACCUGGGAAUUGCGCUUGAUACUCUGAGACUGGAGUACGGGAGAGGAGAGUGGAAUUCCCAGUGUAGUGGUGAAAUACGUAGAGAUUGGGAAGAACACCAGUGGCGAAGGCGGCUAUCUGGACGGUUUCUGACGCUAAGACGCGAAAGCGUGGGGAGCGAACAGG
rnacentral:rRNA from 1 species